rnacentral:rRNA from 1 species
UACGUAGGGUGCAAGCGUUAAUCGGAAUUACUGGGCGUAAAGCGUGCGCAGGCGGUUUUGUAAGUCUGUCGUGAAAGCCCCGGGCUCAACCUGGGAAUUGCGAUGGAGACUGCAAGGCUUGAAUCUGGCAGAGGGGGGGUAGAAUUCCACGUGUAGCAGUGAAAUGCGUAGAGAUGUGGAGGAACACCGAUGGCGAAGGCAGCCCCCUGGGUCAAGAUUGACGCUCAUGCACGAAAGACGUGGGGAGCAAACAGG